GACGAAGGAUGCAAGCGUUAUCCGGAUUCAUUGGUUUAAAGGGAGCGUAGGCGGACUUAUAAGUCAAGUGGUGAAAUCUCCGAGCUUAAACUCGGAAACUGCCUUGAUACUGUAAGUCUAGAGUACAGUUGCCGUUGCGGAAUAUGACAUGUAGUGGUGAAAUACUUAGAUAUGUCAUAGAACACCGAUUGCGAAGGCAGCUAAGAAGUGUAA
rnacentral:rRNA from 1 species